rnacentral:lncRNA from 1 species
CAAUUCAACAAGGAUAAACUUUCACUGGAACAAACUCCUUCAGCCAUCAACCAACUUAAGCUAUAAUUGCAACUCUUAACUCAGUUAAACCACCAUAUGUAAUAUCAUGGUUGGGAUUUGCAGAAGGUUCUGUUAUUGUAAAGCCAUGAAGCUGAAGGGUGACCAUUAACUCUCCAUUGAGAUGAGUAAAACUAGUUACUUGGAGCUUCUGCAAUUCCCAUAAACAAAGGGGAGGGGACCAGCUGGGUUCGUCUUCCUCCCCAAUUCCUGAAGUCUUAUUUUGUACUCAUCUGAUCCAAAACCAUGCACUGAAUCUGAUCACAAUCCAC